rnacentral:RNase_P_RNA from 1 species
GAAGCUGACCAGACAGUCGCCGCUUCGUCGUCGUCCUCUUCGGGGGAGACGGGCGGAGGGGAGGAAAGUCCGGGCUCCAUAGGGCAGGGUGCCAGGUAACGCCUGGGGGGGAAACCCACGACCAGUGCAACAGAGAGCAAACCGCCGAUGGCCCGCGUAAGCGGGAUCAGGUAAGGGUGAAAGGGUGCGGUAAGAGCGCACCGCGCGGCUGGUAACAGUCCGUGGCACGGUAAACUCCACCCGGAGCAAGGCCAAAUAGGGGUUCAUAAGGUACGGCCCGUACUGAACCCGGGUAGGCUGCUUGAGCCAGUGA